GAAAUGCGAUACUUGGUGUGAAUUGCAGAAUCCCGUGAAUCAUCGAAUCUUUGAACGCACAUUGCGCCCCCUGGCAUUCCGGGGGGCACGCCUGUCCGAGCGUCAUUGCGAACCCCUCAAGCCCGGCUUGUGUGAUGGGCGCCCGUCCCCCCCCGGGGCCUCGUGCCCCGGGGGACGCGCCCGAAAGGCAGCGGCGGCGCCGAACCGUGGCCCAGCGCAUGGGGACUCUGUCACGCGCUCGUGCCCACGAUCGGCAGGCCGGCCCAGACCAUACGUCGACCCCUCACCGGUUGACCUCAGGUCAGGCGGGGCUACCCGCUGAGUUUAA
rnacentral:misc_RNA from 1 species